GUCUAUAUAUAUGUAAAUAUACAUAUAUAAUAUACAUAUCGUUCUGUACCCGGCUCACGCAUGCGCAAACAGGUUAUCCUGCGCAACGCCGUUGCUCGAAUGAAGUUUGUCCAAGUGGAUUUGCCGUUUUUCCGCUGUCCAAGAUGGCGCCAAUAUGGCGCACGCGCAAAUGGCAGCUUCGCAGAUCAGGCAGUGACCCCGAUAUACACCAGCAAAGCAUUAUAUCCCAUCAUGCAUUGCAGUCGUGACUACAUUGUAGCAGAAUCCGUCCGUUCGUUUUAAUUGUCCGACAAUCACUACUAUGUUUUUGACUGAGUUUGUCAUUGUUCUUGUAAGAUUGUUUGUUUAAAUAAAGUUAAAAUAAAGUUUUAAUUGUCCGACAGUAAUUACGUAAUUCACUGCGCCGAAAUAGUGACGUUUUUCAUUUAACUGUUGAUGGUGCACUAUAUAUCUAUAUGUAGCUAUACUAUAUAUAACUCUUAUAUAUGGAGAAGGGAAUGAGUAAGUUAUUUUAGAAACAGUCGCAUAAUUUCUCUCGAAACUUCCGGUUAGAGAAGAAAUAAAUCGAGUGUGUGGUAAAAACGUUACUAAGUGGAACGUUUAUGGCUCACAGGAACAGGAAAUGGUGAACCGUGCCGACUCUCGAAAAAUAAUGAACUUCAUGGAAUGUUUAAACCACCUGUUUUGUGGCUUGUUCUUCACAAACACAUGUCUACCUGCAGCCCUGAAGGGUCUUCUAUUAGAACUGUCCAACACAUUCACAGGUAAAUAACUCUGAGAUUUGUUCUACAACUACUGAUUUUAAUAGUGAUAACUCAGGGAUAACUAGUUAAGUUCAGUACUACAAUAACAAAUGCUGUACUGUGUAACAUUUUAUUCUUCUGCAUGUUAUGGAAAAAAGCAAAAGACAAAAAAAAAAAAAUAAAUGUAGUAAAACUUUUAUUCAUUUUUCAAGUCAAAAAAAAAAAACAGAACAAAGAUACAGA